CAAUGAGAUGGUAGAAACAACGAAGGUAUGGAUAGAGAGAAGACAAAUGCGCUUCACGCUUAUUUCCAAGUGACCAACACCAUAUAUACCAAUUCAAUUAUUUGGUGAAGUAACUUACUUAGUGGCGGACGGGUGAGUAACGCGUGAAUAAUCUCGCCCCAUACAGGGGGAUAGCCUCGGGAAACCGGGAUUAAAACCGCAUAACACUUUUUUAUCGCAUGGUAGAAAAGUCAAAUCGAUUAAGAGGUAUGGGAUGAGUUCGCGUCUGAUUAGCUGGUUGGCGGGGUAAGAGCCCACCAAGGCGACGAUCAGUAGCCGGCCUGAGAGGGUGACCGGCCACACUGGAACUGAGACACGGUCCAGACUCCUACGGGAGGCAGCAGUGGGGAAUAUUGCACAAUGGGGGAAACCCUGAUGCAGCGACGCCGCGUGAGUGAAGAAGGUCUUCGGAUCGUAAAACUCUGUCCUUGGUGACGAAAGAAAUGACGGUAACCAAGGAGGAAGCCCCGGCUAACUACGUG
rnacentral:rRNA from 1 species